rnacentral:rRNA from 1 species
UAAGCAAGAUAUGAAAUCGUACGGCUCAACCGUACAACUGUAUUUUGAACUGCUAGACUUGAGCACAAUAGAGGUAGCUGGAAUUCCUAGUGUAGGAGUGAAAUCCGUAGAUAUUAGGAGGAACACCAAUGGCGUAGGCAGGCUACUGGGUUGUUGCUGACACUGAGGCACGAAAGCGUGGGGAGCGAACGGGAUUAGAUACCCCGGUAGUCCACGCCGUAAACGAUGAAUGCUA